rnacentral:pre_miRNA from 1 species
AAUGUAUGACACCGUUGACUUUUUAUCCAACGUUUGACCAUUCGUCUUAUUAAAAAAAAUUAUGUAAGUAUUAUUUAUUUUAUUAUGACUUGAUUCGUCAUCCAAUGUUCUUUAAGCAUGAUAUAAGUAUUAUUAUAUUUGCAUAAAAAAUUGAAUAAAACGAAUGGUCAAACGUUGGUCAAAAAAUCAACGGCGUCAUAUAUU